GAUCCUGGCUCAGGAUGAACGCUAGCGGCAGGCCUAACACAUGCAAGUCGAGGGGCAGCACAGAAAUAGCUUGCUAUUUGGGUGGCGACCGGCGCACGGGUGCGUAACGCGUAUGCAACCUACCUUAUACUGGGGUAUAGCCCGGAGAAAUUCGGAUUAAUCCCCCAUGGUAUUAUUGGAUCGCAUGGUUUGAUAAUUAAAGAUUACGGUAUAAGAUGGGCAUGCGUCCUAUUAGCUAGAUGGUAAGGUAACGGCUUACCAUGGCUACGAUAGGUAGGGGGCCUGAGAGGGUGGUCCCCCACACUGGUACUGAGACACGGACCAGACUCCUACGGGAGGCAGCAGUGAGGAAUAUUGGUCAAUGGGCGCAAGCCUGAACCAGCCAUGCCGCGUGCAGGAAGAAUGCCCUAUGGGUUGUAAACUGCUUUUGUUUGGGAAGAAAUGUAUUCUUUUAAGAGUAUUUGACGGUACCAGACGAAUAAGCACCGGCUAACUCCGUG
rnacentral:rRNA from 1 species